CGGGAGGCUCCAGCAGUGGGGAAUCUUGGACAAUGGGCGCAAGCCUGAUCCAGCCAUGCCGCGUGAGUGAAGAAGGCCUUAGGGUCGUAAAGCUCUUUCGCCAGAGAUGAUAAUGACAGUAUCUGGUAAAGAAACCCCGGCUAACUCCGUGCCAGCAGCCGCGGUAAUACGGAGGGGGUUAGCGUUGUUCGGAAUUACUGGGCGUAAAGCGCGCGUAGGCGGAUUAGUCAGUCAGAGGUGAAAUCCCAGGGCUCAACCCUGGAACUGCCUUUGAUACUGCUAGUCUUGAGUUCGAGAGAGGUGAGUGGAAUUCCGAGUGUAGAGGUGAAAUUCGUAGAUAUUCGGAGGAACACCAGUGGCGAAGGUGGCUCACUGGCUCGAUACUGACGCUGAGGUGCGAAAGUGUGGGGAGCAAACAGGAUUAGAUACCCUGGUAGUC
rnacentral:rRNA from 1 species